rnacentral:lncRNA from 1 species
GCAGUGUAAUGUGGCCUGGACAGGCUCCAGAUUCUACCUUCUCUGGUAACCUGGGGAGAAACUUACCCUCUUGCCCUUUCAGAGGUGAUAGACAGUUAACAGAGUCCUGGCAGCCCUGGAAAUUUUGCCUCAAGGUCUGAGGUCAGAGGUGUUUUUCCAGCCCAUGCUGGGAAGGUAUUCUCCUUCUUACUAGCCUAUUGAUGCCGCCAAUCAUUUUAGGAGGUGUUCCAUUUGAAUAGAAGAAAUGACACUUGAGUCCACCCUUUUCCAGGCUGAGGUAUCUCUGAGUUAUCCAGCCACCUCCCUUCAGGGGUAACUGAAAGGCCACUGGAAAUGUUCAAAGAUGUGUCUAGACUUCAGAAACUCUGAUGCUCCUUGGCCUGGUGUCCAUACCAGGGUAUUAAGAGCCUGGCUUUCAGGAUUUUGAACUUGGCUAGAAAUUAUCUUAUUGAACCAUAAGAUCUUUCCUUUUUCUUUUUUUCUUUUUUUUCCUUUUUAUGGCUGCACCUGUGGCAUAUGGAAGUUCCCAGGCUAGGGGUCAAAUCAGAGCUGCAGCUGCUGGCCUGCACCACAGCCAUGGCAACAAUGGAUCUGAGCCACAUCUGUGACCUAUGCCACAGUUCACAGCAAUGCCAGACCCUUAAUCCACUGAGUGAGGCCAGGGAUCAAACCAGCAUCCUCAAGGACAAAAUGUCGGGUUCUUAACCUGCUGAGCCACAAUGGGAACUCCAAACCAGAGAUAUUUCAUUGCAACUCGAUGAGAGUGAAACAUUUUUGAAGUGAAUAUAAACUGUAAACUCUAGAUUUGUGGCAAAUAUAUCAAACUCCUUGAUCCUUAAGUUGCUGCUUAUUAGAUUGAAGUUUGAAGACAGUAGUUGAAAUCCUUUAGCUCCCCAGAGUCAAUCUUGAGAAUGCUUUCCUUCUCAAACUUCAGGAUGCAUCAGAAUUUCCUGGAGGGCCCAUGAAGACAUCGAGCACUGAGCACGACUGCAGAAAUUUCUGAUCCAGUAGGUCUAAAACUGAAAAUUUGCAUUAUUCAUGAGUUCCCAGUUGAUGCUGGAUGCUGCUGGUCUGGAGACCAUGCUUUGGGAACCACUGUGCUAAGGGCAUGGGCUGUAGAAUCUGGAGUCUAUAUUAGACUUUUACUAUACUACUCAUGGUUCUGGACCAGGGUGUUGACAUCACACAGAAGCUUUUUAGAAAUGCAGAGUCUCUGGCCUCACUCCGGACCUAUUGUUUUUGGAUCUGCAUUUGAUAAGAUGUCCAGAUAAUUAGUAUGGACAGGAAAUAUUGAGAAGGGCCACUGUCGAGCUCUCUAUGUAUGUUUGUCAUUAUUCAGUAACCUGUGAAUUAUCCUGGAUUCACAGGACAGAAAGCUCUCUGAGUCAUGCCUAACUUUCCAUUUGAAUCCAGCUCUGACUGAAUAAAGACCAAGGACUUCUGGAGAAUCAGCCUAGCACAAUAUGGUAUAGAGUUUUACUCAUCUCUCAUGCAUGUCUCAUCAAAGAGUGGACUGGGACCUAUAAAAAUGGCCAGCGAACAGAUUGAAAUGGCUUCAGCACACAAAUAAGCUUGCUUUUGUCACAGGAAGCAAAAGCCCAAGGAGAGACUCUUGUUUUUCUGAAAUCAUCCAUGUGGUGAUUCCUUUUGGGCCAGAAUCUCAUGAACCAGGCGGGAGCACCUGGGUGUCUACCUUUUAGCUCCGGCGAACAAUUCUAUGGAGCAGGACUGUCAAGGCUUCUCUUGGCAGGGCUAGCCGCUGCUCUCCCUGUGUGGAGGCAGGUGUUCAACAUCAAAUAACACUGCCCCGGACCUGAGCAACCCCGAGAAAAAUGUAAAUGAAACUAAACAGUUAUGAUAAGACCCAGUGGACCACCCGGUCCUCCCUGCCCCAAUUCAUCCGCCCCCCUCCACCUCCCUUCUUUGCUCACAGAGCUGAAAGCCUGGAAGUGUCUUUAGAAUUUCAAAUGCUGGACUUCCCAUUGUGGCUCAGCAGUAACGAAUCUGACUAGUAUCCAUGAGGAUGUGGGUUCAAUCCCUGGCCUUGCUCAGUGCAUUAAGGAUCCAGCAUUGCCAUGAGCUGUGGUACAGGUCACAGACGUGGCUUGGAUCCGGCAUUACUGUGGCUGCGGCCGGCAGCUACAGCUCCGAUUCUACCCCUAUCCUGGGAACUUCCAUGUGCUGCAGGUGUGGCCC